UAGGGAAUCUUCGGCAAUGGACGAAAGUCUGACCGAGCAACGCCGCGUGAGUGAAGAAGGUUUUCGGAUCGUAAAACUCUGUUGUUAGAGAAGAACAAGGACGUUAGUAACUGAACGUCCCCUGACGGUAUCUAACCAGAAAGCCACGGCUAACUACGUGCCAGCAGCCGCGGUAAUACGUAGGUGGCAAGCGUUGUCCGGAUUUAUUGGGCGUAAAGCGAGCGCAGGCGGUUUGUUAAGUCUGAUGUGAAAGCCCCCGGCUCAACCGGGGAGGGUCAUUGGAAACUGGGAGACUUGAGUGCAGAAGAGGGGAGUAGAAUUCCAUGUGUAGCGGUGAAAUGCGUAGAUAUAUGGAGGAACACCAGUGGCGAAGGCGGCUCUCUGGUCUGUAACUGACGCUGAGGCUCGAAAGCGUGGGGAGCAAACAGG
rnacentral:rRNA from 1 species